rnacentral:lncRNA from 1 species
ACCCAUAAAUCACCUUUUCCUCCAUUAAAAUUGCCAUGUAAACUCACCUAAAAUAGCUCAAAAUUCCACCCAAAAUUCAGUCCCAAAACAACCACAAAGACUGGCCAUUUUCGCACUUUUUACCACCAAAAAUAGCAGCGAAUCACCUUUGAAAACCAGCCUAAAUAGCCCCCUAAACCCAGCUGAAAUCCACCACCAACCCAGCUCCAAAAUAGUCCAAAGAAGUAGUAAAAACGCAGCUGCUUCAUGAGAAAAAAACACAGCAGCUGUUGCUUAUUUUCUUCCUCCAAAAACGACCUCAAACCUCCCAAAAAACAGCUCUUUUCCACCUUAAAAUAACCCCAAACCUCCGGCAAAAAUAUCCCAAAAACAGCCCCCAAAACCUGGUCAAAACAGUAGUUUUUCGCACAAAACAACAACUCCAAAACGGCUCCAACAAUUGGACUUUUGAGGUUGACAUCGAGGUCACCGUUCGAGUCCAAGGUCAAAAGUUGAUUGGAGUUUUUCGUGUAUUAUUCAAGUUCAAGAAUGUCUUACUCUAUAAUUAAGGUCCAUUUCUUUAUUCUUAUUCUCCUAACUAUUUGAUUCCAUUGAAGUUAUUUGGAAGAUUUGUUUCUAUUAUUUUUUGUUUGCUCUUGUGUUUCUUCAUGAAAAUGACCCACUGUUUUGGUUAGUUUAUGUAACGUCCCGACUUGUCGUUUUGAGAAUUUAUAUUCCGUUCAGUGACUUAAGGUCCCGAGUAAUUUCGUAAUAUAUAUUAUGACCCGUGUGUGGGGUCGAGUUUGGUUUUCGGAAAAUUCAGAAUUUAAUUGAAGGAACAAUUCUCAUUUAUAAAGCUUGAAUUUCUAAAGUUUGACAGGAGAUUUGACUUUUGAGAAAAUAACCCCGGAAUAAAUUUUUGAUGAUUCCAAUAGUUUCGUAUUAUGAUUUCGGACUUAGGCGCAGGUCCGAAUUUGGAUUUGGAAGUCCGUAGGACAAUUCAGUGCAUUUUGGCGAAAGUUGAAAAAUUAAGAUUUUUGGAAAGUAUGACCGGAAGUUGACUUUAUUGAUAUCGAGUUCGGAAUCCAGAUCUGGAAAGUUUGAUAGGUACCUUAUGUCAUGUAUGACUUAUGUGCAAAAUUUGAGGUCAAUCAGACUUGAUUUGAAAGGUUUCGGCAUAGAAUGUAGAAUUUGUAAUUCGUUAGUUUUUAUUAUACUUGAAUUGGGGUGCAGUUCAUGUUUUAAUGUUGUUUAAUAUAAUUUGAGGCAUCAACUAAGUUUGUUCCAUAUUAUGGAACUUGUUAGUAUACUUGGUUGGGAUCCCAUGGGGUUCAGAUGAGUUUUGGAAGAGGUUUUGGAAGAGUUUGGUGUUUUGAACAUAAGUAGGUAAUGAUCCAAAGGUCCAUUUUUAGUUCUAGAGAUCAAAAUUCAAUUUCAAGACUUCCAAGAGUUUGAUAAUGAAUUAUAGGAAUGAUCUGGAAUGCUUGGUCUAAUUUCAUCAAGUCGCGAUUGGGUUUUUAGCGCGAAACAUGAGUUAAUUGUUUAACGAGCAAAAUUGGCAUCAUAUUGAGCAAAUGAGCUCUGAAUUGAGUUUUGAUUGAACGACUAGGUUCGUAUUAUUAUUUGUGACUUAUAGGAGUAAGAAUCAUCGAAUUCCAAGUUCGUAUGAUGAAGUUAGAGCCUUUUUAGUGAAAUAAUAAACUGCUGGUGCAAGCAGGUUCUGGUGCGGACCUUUAGUGACGGGAAAUGGACUUUUAGGUGACGGAAAAUGGGUUUUUAUAGAGCAACUUUGUUUUUUUUUUUUUUAGCUCAUUUCAACAUUUUGGGCGAAAGAACACGGCUUGGGGCGAUUGUUUCAGAGAAAUUUCAUGGGAAAUCUUGAGGUAAGUCACUUGUGAUCUUUGUUAGUCAAUAAUAUUGAAUUAUCAUCGAAUAUUUCGACUAGAUUACGUGUUUUUGAGGUGUAAUUUGAGAAUUUGGGCCUAGAGAUUUGAAAAUAAGAUUUGAGGAUAUAAAGGUCGAGUUGAAGUCGGAAUUUGGUAAAUUUGAUAUGGUUAAACUCGUAUCGGAAUGGGUGUUCGGAUUUCGUAAAAAUUAUGUCGGGUUCCGAGAAGCGGGCCCCGCAUUGACUUUUGGUUGAAUUUUUAAGUCGACGUUUUAUUAUCCGAAAUUAUUUUCGAUGAAUUUUAAUGAAGUUAUACAAUUAAUUUGGAUAGAUUUGAGCUGUUCGGAGGUCAAUUCAAGCAAGAAGGCUAUUUUGGAAUAUCGGCCUAACUUCAAAAAGGUAAGUAUCUUGCCUGACCUUGUGCGGGAAUUUUUCCUUAGGCAUUGAGUCAUAUGUGCCAUUUGUGUAAUGUGAAAGCCAUGUACGCGAGGUGACGAGUACGUACUCGGCUUUAUAUGUGCAAAUUGUAUUGGUUUAAAGUCGUAGGAAUUUUUAAGUUUUAAAUUGGAAAUUUGCUGGCACUUAUUAAAUCCUUAUUUGUCAUGCCUCGUUCUUUGUUUGUCGAAUUUGUUUUAUAUGAUAAUUUGGUGUGAUUGCUACUUUGAUCUUUAUGCGGAUUCUGUGUGCUGGUUGAGUUGAAAUUUUCUGAAAAUAAUUACAUUUUUGAUUUUUCUAUCUGCAAAUAAUUAUUAAAUAAGUUUAUAGGGAGACGUUAAUAUAUUUAUCAGAAAUUUGGAUUUUAGAAGAGGUUGUUCUUCCUGAGUUAUUCUUCCGUCCUUGCUCUUACAUAUUUACUUUGGGAUUACGAGGAUUUUACUCGAAAAAUCUCCAUGUACUGCAUAUUUACUUUGGGACUACGAGGCGGUACCUCAGGAGAUCUCUCUGUACUGCAUAUUUACUUUGGGACUACGAGGCGUUUACUUGGGAGACCCCCCUGUACUGCAUAUUUACUUUGGGACUAUGAGGUGUUUACUCAGGAGAUCCCCCCGUCUUGCAUAUUUACUUUGGGACUACGAGGCGAUACCUUGGGAGAUUCCCUUGGUUUGCAUAUUUAUUUUGGGACUACAAGGCGGUACCUUGGGAGAUACCCCUGUUGAGAAUUUAUAUUUAGGUUUACAAGGCGAUACCUCGGGAGUGCCCCUGUUGUUUACCUCUAUUUGUCGUGUUGUUGUCUUUCUGUGAAUUCCCAUUUGUUCACUUAUCACUCAUUUCAUUAUAUUAUUUUGUCUUCUGCUUUGUGAAUUGUCCGUGCGGUUGUGAUAGAGAUAUGAGAAUGAGGUGUCGUGAGAUAUGAAAGUGGGCUGAGACCCGAGAUUUUUAGGAUUUUGAGGUGAGGUGUCAAUCGGUGAUUUUAUUUGAAAGAAUUAUAUUCGUAAGGUUUUAUUUAAAAUAAUUAUAUUCGAAAGGUUUUAUUUAAAAGAAUUAUAUUCGAAAGAUUUUUAUUUGAAAGAAUUGUAUUCGAAAGGUUUUUAUUUGAAAGAAUUAUAUUCGAAAAGUUUUAUUUAAAAUAAUUAUAUUCGAAAGAUUUUAUUUAAAAGAAUUAUAUUCAAAAGGUUUUUAUUUUAAAAGAAUUAUAUUCGAAAGAUAUUUAUUUGAAAGAAAUAUAUUGGGAGGUAUUUACUUGAAAGAUUUACAUUCGUAAAAUAUUUAUUUUGGAGGAAGUAUAUUCGGGAUAUAUUAAAUUGAAAGGAUUACAUUCUAAAAAUUUUUAUUUGAAAAACUUAUAGAUAAAAGAUGUAUAUUUUGAAGGACUUGAUUAAUUGGUUGCACUUGUCUUUAUUAUUAGUGUGAGCAAUAUUUAUGGUGUUCUUACUGCUUUGUUGUUUAUAUCAUUAGUUGGUUAUUGUUGCUAUCAGUGUUAUCUGUUUUCUAUUAUUUUUGUAUGCUAUGUUGCACAGGUUAUUUGACUAGUGAGUGUCUUGAUUGUACCUCGUCAGUACUCCACCGAGGUUAGUCUUGAUACUUAUUAGGUACCGACUGUGGUGUACUCAUACUAUACUUUUGCAUAUUUUUGUGUAGAGUUAGGUAUUGGAGAUAUCGUACUCGGGCAGAAUUAGUGUGUUGAUCGCAAGGAUUCAAGGUAGAGUUGCUUGGUCGUCGCAGUCCCUUGGAGUCUUUCCAUUUUUAUUGUACUGUCACUCUUAUUCGAACAUUAUUGCACACUCGAUCCUUGAGAUCAUUGCAUGUAUUCAGUUAGAGUUCGUGACUCGGUAUUACCAGUCUUGGGAGAUUGUUAUAUUUAUUUUCGCUUUUGGUUUCGAUACUUGUAUUAAAUUACACUUUUUUUAAAAAGGCUCAAAAUGUAAUUGUAAUCGGCUUACCUAGUCUUAGAGAUUAAGUGUCAUCACGACGCCUGUGGUGUUAAACUAUU